rnacentral:rRNA from 1 species
GAUGAACGCUGGCGGCGUGCCUAAUACAUGCAAGUCGAGCGAACAGACGAGGAGCUUGCUCCUUCGACGUUAGCGGCGGACGGGUGAGUAACACGUAGGUAACCUACCUAUAAGACUGGGAUAACUUCGGGAAACCGGAGCUAAUACCGGAUAAUAUUUCGAACCGCAUGGUUCGAUAGUGAAAGAUGGCUUUGCUAUCACUUAUAGAUGGACCUGCGCCGUAUUAGCUAGUUGGUAAGGUAACGGCUUACCAAGGCAACGAUACGUAGCCGACCUGAGAGGGUGAUCGGCCACACUGGAACUGAGACACGGUCCAGACUCCUACGGGAGGCAGCAGUAGGGAAUCUUCCGCAAUGGGCGAGAGCCUGACGGAGCAACGCCGCGUGAGUGAUGAAGGUCUUCGGAUCGUAAAACUCUGUUAUUAGGGAAGAACAAACGUGUAAGUAACUGUGCACGUCUUGACGGUACCUAAUCAGAAAGCCACGGCUAACUACGUG